UACGAAGGGGGCUAGCGUUGUUCGGAAUUACUGGGCGUAAAGGGCGCGUAGGCGGCGUGUCAAGUCAGGCGUGAAAGCCCCGGGCUCAACCUGGGAACCGCGCUUGAGACUGGCAUGCUCGAGUUCGGGAGAGGAUGGUGGAAUUCCCAGUGUAGAGGUGAAAUUCGUAGAUAUCGGGAAGAACACCGAUGGCGAAGGCAGCCAUCUGGACCGACACUGACGCUGAGGCGCGAAAGCGUGGGGAGCAAACAGG
rnacentral:rRNA from 1 species